rnacentral:rRNA from 1 species
CGGUACGUACUGGCAUUGUUGGUUUCUCCCUUCUGACGAACCAUGAUGUCAUUUAUUUGGUGUUGUGGGGAAUCAGGACUUUUACUUUGAAAAAAUUAGAGUGUUUAAAGCAGGCUCACGCUUGAAUACAUUAGCAUGGAAUAAUGAAAUAGGACGUUUGAUUCUAUUUUGUUGGUUUCUAGGAUCGACGUAAUGAUUAAUAGGGAUAGUUGGGGGCAUUAGUAUUCAAUUGUCAGAGGUGAAAUUCUUGGAUUUAUUGAAGACUAACUACUGCGAAAGCAUUUGCCAAGGAUGUUUUCAUUAAUCAAGAACGAAAGUUAGGGGAUCGAAGACGAUCAGAUACCGUCGUAGUCUUAACCAUAAACUAUGCCGACUAGGGAUCGGAUGAUGUUAAUUUUUUAAUGACUCAUUCGGCGCCUUACG